rnacentral:rRNA from 1 species
AGUCGUAACAAGGUUUCCGUAGGUGAACCUGCGGAAGGAUCAUUAGUGAAUCUAGGACGUCCAACUUAACUUGGAGUCCGAACUCUCACUUUCUAACCCUGUGCAUCUGUUUUAAAAUUGGCUAGUAGCUCUUCGGAGUGAACCACCAUUUUUCACUUAUACAAACACAAAGUCUAUGAAUGUAAGCAAAUUUAUAACAAAACAAAACUUUCAACAACGGAUCUCUUGGCUCUCGCAUCGAUGAAGAACGCAGCGAAAUGCGAUACGUAAUGUGAAUUGCAGAAUUCAGUGAAUCAUCGAAUCUUUGAACGCACCUUGCGCUCCUUGGUAUUCCGAGGAGCAUGCCUGUUUGAGUGUCAUGAAAUCUUCAACCCACCUCUUUCUUAGUGAAUCUGGUGGUGCUUGGUUUCUGAGCGCUGCUCUGCUUCGGCUUAGCUCGUUCGUAAUGCAUUAGCAUCCGCAACCGAAACUUCGGAUUGACUUGGCGUAAUAGACUAUUCGCUGAGGAUUCCAGACUUGUUCUGGAGCCGAGUUGGGUUAAAGGAAGCUUCUAAUCCUAAAGUCUAUUUUUUGAUUAGAUCUCAAAUCAGGUAGGACUACCCGCUGAACUUAAGCAUAUCAAUAAGCGGAGGAAAUAAAGUCG